GAUGAACGCUGGCGGCGUGCCUAAUACAUGCAAGUCGAGCGAACGGACGAGAAGCUUGCUUCUCUGAUGUUAGCGGCGGACGGGUGAGUAACACGUGGAUAACCUACCUAUAAGACUGGGAUAACUUCGGGAAACCGUAGCUAAUACCGGAUAAUAUUUUGAACCGCAUGGUUCAAAAGUGAAAGACGGUCUUGCUGUCACUUAUAGAUGGAUCCGCGCUGCAUUAGCUAGUUGGUAAGGUAACGGCUUACCAAGGAAACGAUGCAUAGCCGACCUGAGAGGGUGAUCGGCCACACUGGAACUGAGACACGGUCCAGACUCCUACGGGAGGCAGCAGUAGGGAAUCUUCCGCAAUGGGCGAAAGCCUGACGGAGUAACGCCGCGUGAGUGAUGAAGGUCUUCGGAUCGUAAAACUCUGUUAUUAGGGAAGAACAUAUGUGUAAGUAACUGUGCACAUCUUGACGGUACCUAAUCAGAAAGCCACGGCUAACUACGUG
rnacentral:rRNA from 1 species